GACGUAGGGGGCCAGCGUUGUUCGGAAUUACUGGGUGUAAAGGGUUCGUAGGCGGUGUGGCAAGUCGGGAGUGAAAUCUCUGGGCUCAACCCAGAGACUGCUUCCGAAACUGCUGUGCUUGAGUGUGAGAGAGGCUCGUGGAAUUGCAGGUGUAGCGGUGAAAUGCGUAGAGAUCCCCAAGAACACCAGUUGCGAAGGCGGCUGACUGGACACAUAUUGACGCUGAGGCUCGAAAGCAUGGGGAGCAAACAGG
rnacentral:rRNA from 1 species